rnacentral:rRNA from 1 species
CCUACGGGAGGCAGCAGUGAGGAAUAUUGGUCAAUGGACGCAAGUCUGAACCAGCCAUGCCGCGUGCAGGAAGACGGCCCUAUGAGUUGUAAACUGCUUUUGUACGAGGGUAAAUCCCGAUACGUGUAUCGGGUUGAAAGUAUCGUACGAAUAAGGAUCGGCUAACUCCGUGCCAGCAGCCGCGGUAAUACGGAGGAUUCAAGCGUUAUCCGGAUUUAUUUGGUUUAAAGGGUGCGUAGGCGGUUCGAUAAGUUAGAGGUGAAAUUCCGGGGCUCAACUCCGGCACUGCCUCUGAUACUGUCGGGCUAGAGUUUAGUUGCGGUAGGCGGAAUGUAUGGUGUAGCGGUGAAAUGCAUAGAGAUCAUACAGAACACCGAUUGCGAAGGCAGCUUACCAAACUACGACUGACGUUGAGGCACGAAAGCGUGGGGAGCAAACAGGAUUAGAUACCCCAGUAGUC